AAUAACUGGGUUUUUGUUGGAAUGGGUUUUGCGGAACGGAUUUUUGAAUCUACAUUAAUAACAAAUUAAAAUAUCAUUAAUCUGCCGUUUCAAUACAUAUUAAAUCU
rnacentral:sRNA from 1 species